AUACCUUCUUUGCCUUUUGGCUUAGAUCAAGUGUUGUAUAUGUUCUUAUCAGCUAUCAUACCUUGCUUUUUAAAAAAAAUUCAAGAGAAGCAAGGGUUCAAUUAAGAAAGAAUAAGGAAAAGGGUGGACUAGAGGUAUCUUUAUCAUACCUCGCGAUUAUUAUUCUUAAGCACAACUUAGUAGUUAGGUUAUCGAGA